AUAUUUUUUUAAAUACUGUGUUGUUUUUUCUCUUCAAAUAUUGUCACGAAAAAGUAAUUGCUGCAGUUAUCUUGUAAGUUUUCGUUUAUUAAAAAUAAGUAGUCUUAGAUUUCACACAAAAAGCAACUCUGUGCCCUCUCGAAUAUAAUAUUAUUCUCCUCUUUAAAUAUCGCGUACCACGUUUACACUGAAUUUAACACUAUUUUAAUUCCAAGUCACGUAAUUUUACUACGUCGCACCUUAGUCGGACUGAGAGAGUAAAAAAUUCGGGUAUCACACGUCAUCUUAAGGAGUUCUGAGUUUUUCGAACGGUCGUGGAAUAAAAAAAAUAAAUUUUAUUACACCUAUUAUACAGCACGCCAGCUCGCCGUGUGCCACCAUUUCAGAUUUUAUCGACAAACCGGCUAAAAACCGUUUCGAUUUUAUCGUUUUUCAUAUAAGUUUUGACAACGGAACGUGGUGAUAUUGGCGCAUAAAAAAAAAAAACCUCCAAAUCUUUGUACACUUUCCCAUGGGACACUUUCGCCAGUUUAUAAAAAACACCCGACGGCCGUGCGAUAAAUUUAUUAACUCUUCCCCGCGCUCUCCUCGGUGCGUUAACGUAUAAAAUAACAGCGUGUUAUAGUAGUAGACGCAUUAGAACUAAAUUAUAUUACGACCGAUAAAUUUUCACCGUGAAUUCUCUGGUCAAUUCGAUUAACACGACGGUACAAUGAUCGUAUUAAUUUGAAUUAAAAUGACCGGCAAAUAUUAUUGAUUUGCACGUUAUUGAACGAUCCACGAUGACCGCGGUUCGCGGUUUACGAAUCAAUAAUAAUUAUUAUUAUGACGUUCGUAAUUUUAUGAUCGAAAAACCGUUAUGUUAUGGCACGUAAAACUGCGUAAGCCGCUCAAUCGUUAUUGUAAACAUUUCUCGGUUAACCGUACUA